AAAUCUUUACACUUCUUUUAUGACCUAGCUUAAGGUUUAUCCCUAAAUGAUGCCUUUGCUGAUUAAUUCCACCUCUAGUAAUCUUUGCCCUUUGAAUUCCUUCUGUAUUCCCAUCUAGUUUGUACUGUUCUAUCAAUAAGUUUCUUGCAUGUUGCCAUAUAAAUUGUUCUCUGUCUCAUGUUUGCAAGUCUUCUCUUCUUAACUAUACCAAAGCUGCUUGAGGGCAAGUGACUGUGUCUUCUCCUAAUGUAAAUAGCAGGACAUUUAUUAAAUGUGCAACCUAGGUAAAUUAUUGAAAAAUUUUGAGCUUCAGUUUCCUCAUUUGUUACAUGAGGACAAUGAUGCCUGCACCACACAAUGUUCAGACAAUCAAAUGAGACAAUGUGUACAGAGUGCUUUAUGAAGUAUAAAACAUUUGACAGAAGUGAAGCAUACUAUUUUUUUAAAGUGGUGACAGAAUCUAUAAAUGAAAGAUAAUUUAAAAACUUAAUAAAAGAACUUAGAGUACAGCAAUAUUAGUUACUAUCUUACACAUAGGACAAAUUCACUUAAUAUCAAAGUCAAGUCUUAAUGAACCUGCAAGGCUCACAUUGAACUGAAUUUUUCAGAUCUGAGUUUUGGGUCCAGCAUUGCCAAUAAUUUUGUGAUGUAACACUUCAACCUUUGAUAGUUUAAGGCCUUUCCCAGCUUUAAAUAUCUGAUACACAAGUGAAAAUUUGGGUAUGUUAGCCUUGUUUUUGGG
rnacentral:lncRNA from 1 species